AUUGAACGCUGGCGGCAGGCCUAACACAUGCAAGUCGAACGAGUGGCGGACAGGUGAGUAAUGUCUGGGAAACUGCCUGAUGGAGGGGGAUAACUACUGGAAACGGUAGCUAAUACCGCAUACCAUCGGAUCUGCCCAGAUGGGAUUAGCUAGUUGGUGGAGUAACGGCUCACCAAGGCGACGAUCCCUAGCUGGUCUGAGAGGAUGACCAGCCACACUGGCACUGAGCCACGGUCCAGACUCCUACGGUAGGCAGCAGUGUGGAAUAUUGCACAAUGGGCGCAAGCCUGAUGCAGCCAUGCAGCGUGUAUGGAGAAGGCCUUCGGGUUGUGAAGUACUUUCAGCGUGGAGGCGUUACCCGCAGAAGAAGCACCGGCUAACUCCGUGCCAGCAGCCGCGGUAAUUC
rnacentral:rRNA from 1 species